ACCUAGGUGGCUCAGUUGGACAGCACGUGACUCUUGAUCUCAGGAUUGUGAGUUCGAGCCCCACACUGGGUG
rnacentral:tRNA from 1 species